GCCCCAGCUCCGGCCUAAACCCCAGCUCCGGCCGAACUACCCGUCUGGGACCAAGCCCCAGUCCCAGCCCCAACCACAGGAGUGGACAAACUACCCAUCUGAGACCCAGCCCCAGCCCCAGCCCCAGCCAGGCUACCCGUCUGGGACCAAGCCACAGCAGUGGCCGAGCUACGCGUCUGGGCCCCCACAAAACGUCAAUCCAAGAAGCUCUAGACCAGCUCCGUUGGCUCCCAGGUCUUAUCGCAGGUGGCGACUAAUGGCACCUGCGUCUGACAGACCUCGUCAACCCUGAACCAGAUGAAGUUCCUGAAGGGUGGAAGGUGUUGGUCCUGGUGUGGCAUCACUAGUGCAAAAAACUCUAUUAAAGUCAAAGAAAUUACA